GGGGCGGUGGAGGCGGGAGACGCCGGCGGCGGCUGCUGAGCGUCCCCGGGAGGAGGCGCCCGGCCGCGGCCAUGGACCGGUACCUGCUGUUCGUGAGCUGGGAGGAGCGGAGAGCCCCGCGGGGCGGCGGCGCCGAGCGCGUAGCAGGUAUAACUGCUGCAAAUGUUUAUAACCUUCUGAAAGAAAAUUGUAGAACCUUUAUAAAUGAGGAUGUAAGCACGUUCCCAGCAUGUUCUGUGGCUGGUGUUCCAGGUAUGAGGAAAUGGUAUUUUGCAAAUCAAGUUAUAUAUGAUUUCUAUCAGUUUUGUAGUUCUGACUGGGAGGAGAUCAAUAUUGACAUGGAGAAAGAUGAAAAUGAAAACUCUCUCCAAACCAGUAUAGAAGAAUGCCUGGGUGCUAUUCAGAGUUUUGAGGAGGAAGACAGUAGCAGCAGAGAGUCACUGUCACUGAUAGAUGUCUAUGAAGAAUCUGCAGAGAGUCUACAUCAGUUAUCGGACAAGCUCCCUGCUCCUGGAAGAGCCAUGGUUGAUGUAAUACUACAGUCUGCUGAAAGAGAUGCCCCCAAGUUAAAAGACUGCUUACCUGCUGUUGGUGCCCUGAAACAUCUGAAAGAAUGGCAUUCUGCAAAAAUCACUAUAGCAACAAAUGACUAUAAAGGUAGCUGGCAAAAAAUUGCAGACUACCUAUCAGCAGAUGUUGUGGCUUCAGAUAAUCUAAUAAAUAUUAUUGAUUCAAAAGAGCUGUGGAGAGGAGAGAUUCAGAUAUGGGAAAGAAAGUUUGGAUUUGAAGUUAGGUUUCCAAAAUUUUGUAUAAAGAGUGUCUCAGCCAAGCCUUUCAGCACAUCGUAUUUGAAUACUUGCUUCACUGCCAAGAAAACAGCACAAUCAAAGACUACUAAUAUUUUGCCAGAGGUUUUUCAUUAUUAUGGUCCUGUGUUAGAAUUCAUGCGGCUGGUGAUGCUCUCAGAUCUGCCAUCCUAUUUUGUAUCAGAUCUUGAAUUUGAGCUGAACUUGACAAGAAACAAUAUCAAUGAAAAGUCUACACUGCUUUUGGACCAGAUUUCUUCUCUCUGUGAAAAGGUAGGCGCCUUAUUUGUUUUGCCUUGCAAUGUAAGCAACAUGUUGAUUCCCUCUCCUGGCCAGCUGAGUACAAAAAAAUGGAAGGAACAUAUGGCCAAAAAACCGAAGGUCAUAACCAUUCCAGAAGUUGAGCUAAAAGGAGAGUCUUGCCAAUAUUAUUUCUUGGUACAAAGCAAUGGCUUUGGAGGGUGUAAAGCAACUUGGAUUCAUUCAGCCAAUCAGAUCAAUGGCACAGCCACUCUUGCUUUAAUAAAUGGAAAGCUACAGACAAGCACAGAAGAAACACAGUCAAGCCUUUGUACUGGUGACUUCAUCAGUUCUCUUCCACAUUUCUAUGGAGAGCAGAUACUACAGAGAGAAAAGAAACUGGCUAAUGUCCAAGCAUUUGCCUUGAAGGAAUGUCUCAAGAGGCGGGAAUCGGGCGAGCAACCUUCAACUGUUUCUGCUGAUGAGCUCAAAACACUGUUAACACUUACUAGGGAACGUUUUUUAGAGUUGUAUGACACCAGCUUUCCAAAAACUAUUCUGCACAAAGCAAUCAACGAAACUAAUCCCAUCACAAUGACUAGUGAAUCUGAAUUAAUAGCACCCAAUCCUUUGGAGUGGCCAGAAAGAAGUGUUCUUCAGAACUUGGAAAAUUUUGAAAAAAUUAAACAAAAAAUGAGAGUUUCUAUGUUGGCGCAUUCCUCUGAGCAAUUACUGGGCCAUAAAGAUGGUCAGAGGGAAUCACUGACAUUGCUUGAUGCUAAAGAGCUACUGAAAUAUUUCACUCCAGAGGGGUUACCUAUUGGAGAUCUUCAGCCAUUACAGAUUCAAAAGAGUGAAAAUGCUUUUCUUCUGACGCCAGAGCUUACUCCACGAAAGCUGGGAGGUCUGUCUUUUGAAAAAGCAGCUGGGUGCCAUUAUCAUGGGCUUGAAUACUGUCUAGAUAACAGAAAAGCUUUAGAGAGAGAUGUGAAAUUUGCUGAACUUCAGACUCGUCUUAUUCGCUAUGAAACACAGACUACCUGUACUAAAGAGUGCUGUCCUGUACCAUGUGUCUUGAGCCCUCUUCCGUCUCCUGCAGUUUUGUCAGAGCCUGGAAGUGUCCCCGAUGGGGAAUCUUUACAAAGUGAACUCAGAACAGAAUCAUCAAGGCUAAAACGCAGAUCAAAAGACUUGGAUUGCUUUUAUCCCAACAAGAGACUAAUAAAAACUGAAAGCACAGAUUCUCUCAUGUCUCAGGCAAGCGGAAGUAGUGUGGGUCACCAUUCGGGCGGUGUCAUAAGACAACAGCCAGGCAGAUCAUUGUCUCUAACGUCUGCAUCUGUUAAGCAGCCUAGUGAUCAGGCCAACAAAGUAACUGCAGAGGCUGGCCCAGCAAGUCAGAGAUGUGUGCAAGAGUCAGAAACUUCAAAGCCAAUUAAGGAAUCAAGAUCUCAGAAACAUAUACGGAUGCUGACAGAAGUGGUUGCUAAAACACUUAAGAAACACGGCAUUGCAGAGAACCACAAAUGCUUUGCAUCAUGCAGCCAGCGUCUGUUUGAGAUAUCCAAGUUCUAUUUAAAGAAUCUAAUCUAAACACUGAUUGCAGAGGUUUCAAAAACUUUCCCUCACUUAUAUAAAGCUUUAGGAGACCAUUAUGUUUCUCUUGUGACAAUGAAGAGCACGUUCAUUGUUCUGGACAAAACCCAUUGAUUACAAGGAUCUGAAAACUUCCAGGGGGCUGUUUGAUGAAAUGAAGAAAACAGCAAACAACAAUGCUAAACAGGUGAUUGAAUGGGUUUUGGAAAAGACUAACAAGUAAUGAUGAUGAAUCAUUACAUAUGAACGGAAUUUACACCCUCUUCUCCAACUUCACAGAAAAAGCACAGUGCGUUACAACAAAAGUAUAAAGCCAGGUAACAGGAACAAAACAGACCUUAAAAAACUUGGUUCAUAGACUUAAUUCCCUAAUCCAAUACUGUGUUAUGGCCUUUAGAUAUUUUAUAUUGAGUUUUUAUUAAAAAAAAAAUCUGUAAUGAACAUUGCAUUUUAUACUAUAUGCCUAUUUAUAGAUUUAAUUAUCUAAAAGACUGUGACUUAGAUUUUUCAGAAACAUUUUUAUAUGUGUUGUACAGAUUUUAUUUUAGAUGUAAUAAAAAA